CCUCUGGAUGUUUGCGCAGAGGACACCUGCCUCUGCACCGAUCCACGCGACGCCACGCAGCUCCUUUGCACCUCUUUAACUUUUGCGCCGCGCGUGGCAUUUUCCAGAUACAUGUAAAUAUAUAUAUAUAUGUAUUUUUUAUUUGCACAUGUUUUAAGUGGACGUCUCCAUCCGGUGGAAAGAAACCGUGCGAGCGUUUUUGACUUCCAACUUGGAACUGUGGAUGGCACGGGUAUCUGUGGAAAGUUGCGCUGCGUCAGGAGGCAUGGGCGCAAACUUUACCAGCUUUUCAUAAUCGACUGACAGUUUUUCUUUGAACAUGAAGGCAGGUGAGUCACACGUAGCGGCUCAAUAGGAAGAAAAUCCACGAUAGACGCGCGGGGGAAGUCGUGAGCCGUGCGGCGGAUUGCGCUACGGAGGACGGAGGGAACAGACGGAUGAGCCAACAUGGGUCCAUUAAUGAGUGAUGGACGACUGGCCCACCUCCUCUUCCCUCUCCUCCUUCUCUUGCGAGCCCCCCUGUUGUACAGUUUUGGCGAACGUACCUGUCCCAAUAACUGCCGAUGUGAAGGAAAAACAGUCCAUUGUGAUUCAUCCGGGUUGUUGGAUGUUCCUGAGAACAUCUCAGUGGGCUGCCAGGGCCUGUCACUGCGCUACAAUGAUCUCCACACUUUGCUCCCAUAUCAGUUUGCUCAUCUUAGCCAACUUCUCUGGAUAUACCUAGACCACAACCAGAUUUCUGCAGUGGACAGCAGAGCAUUUCAAGGGGUUCGAAGGCUUAAAGAGCUCAUACUCAGCUCCAACAGGAUCACAUCUCUGCACAAUUCAACAUUCCAUGGAAUUCCUAAUCUUCGCAGUCUGGACUUGUCAUAUAACAAAUUAGAAAUCCUGCAGCCAGGUCAAUUCCACGGCCUAAGAAAGCUGCAAAACCUUCACCUUCGCUCCAACGGUCUCUCUAACAUCCCCAUUCGUGCUUUUCUGGAGUGCAGAAGUUUGGAGUUUCUGGAUUUGGGCUACAAUCGAAUUAAGGCUCUGACCCGAACAACCUUUUUAGGGCUCCAGAAGCUCAUGGAGUUGCAUCUGGAGCACAACCAGUUCUCUCGGAUCAACUUUUUUCUGUUUCCACGCUUAGCCAACCUGAGAUCACUCUAUCUGCAAUGGAACCGGAUAAGGGUGGUCAACCAAGGCCUUCCGUGGACUUGGUACACACUGCAGAAAUUGGAUCUGUCUGGGAAUGAAAUCCAGAUCCUGGACCCGGCUGUGUUUCACUGCUUGCCCAACCUUCAAGUCCUCAACCUGGAAUCCAACAAACUCUCUAACGUGUCUCAGGAGGCGGUUUCUGCUUGGAUCUCCCUGACCUCCAUCAGCCUUGCUGGUAACAUGUGGGACUGUGGACCUGGCAUAUGCCCCCUUGUGGCUUGGCUGAGGAAUUUCCGGGGUAGUAAGGACACCACUAUGAUAUGCAGCAGCCCAAAGUAUCUCCAGGGAGAGAAAAUAAUGGAAGUCACUCGGAACCAUGGUAUUUGUGAGGAAACUGAUUAUGUUCUGACAGAAACACCAUCACCGAUGUCAGAGCUUAUUUCUGAGGCAACUGCUGAACCAACCUUUGGCCCUACUAGUGGUUCUCCACCUGUUCCGUCAACCAACACUCUUGGUCCUCUACCCCCUUUCAGACCACGACCUAUUCCUCACCCUACCUUCCCGGGACACAUGAGCAAAGACCCGAGAGACUCCGUUUCUCGCGCAAGACCAACUCAUCCGCCACCACCAGAGAUUGAGCACAUGACUCUGCACAAGGUGGUGGUUGGCAGCGUGGCACUCUUCUUCACCAUGUCUCUGAUCUUGACAAUUAUCUAUGUGUUGUGGCGUCGCUACCCAAGUGCAACCAGGUUGCUGCAGCAGCGAUCUAUGGUGGGACGGAAGCGCCGCAAAAAGAGCCCAGAGCCCGAGCAGGACCUGAGCUCCCAGCUGCAAGAGUAUUAUAUGAGCUACAACCCUGCUGCCACACCAGAGGCAUUGGAGGUGCUGGGAAAUGGCACCGGUUCCUGCACUUGCACAAUUUCUGGCUCCAGGGAGUGUGAGGUAUGACCCAUCGCAUCAGCCUAAAAAUAAAAACUCAAAAUCAAAACACAAAGGCUCAACAGAGAGAACGAGUACACGUGUCCACGCCCCCUACCUGGUGCCUGGCUGGGAGACAUGCCUACUAUCCAUUAGCUUAAAAGGGAAAAAAAAAAGGAACUGCA